rnacentral:rRNA from 1 species
UACGUAGGGUCCGAGCGUUGUCCGGAAUCACUGGGCGUAAAGCGCACGUAGGCGGAUUGCUAAGUCAGGGGUGAAAUCCUGGAGCUCAACUCCAGAACUGCCUUUGAUACUGGCGACCUUGAGUCCGGGAGAGGUGAGUGGAACUGCGAGUGUAGAGGUGAAAUUCGUAGAUAUUCGCAAGAACACCAGUGGCGAAGGCGGCUGACUGGCCCGGUACUGACGCUGAGGUGCGAAAGCGUGGGGAGCAAACAGG